rnacentral:lncRNA from 1 species
GUGCACGCAUUGGAAUUGACUUCUGCAACAGAAGCAGCCUUUCGAAAAUUACUCAUCACUUGAACAUUCUUCGAUGGCAACACAGCAUCAACAAGAUUGUUUUUGGCUUUGGUGCACGCACUGGAAUUGACUUCUGCAACAGAAGCAGCCUUUCGAAAAUUACUCAUCACUUGAACAUUCUUCGAUGGCAACACAACAUCAACAGCAUUGUUUUUUGGCUUUGGUGCACACACCGGACGGUGAGCAGUCUUGAGAGGGGGACAACGUUUUUUGUAGAACAGCACAGCUCCC